UACGUAGGGCGCAAGCGUUAUCCGGAAUUAUUGGGCGUAAAGAGCUCGUAGGCGGUUUGUCGCGUCUGCCGUGAAAGUCCGGGGCUCAACUCCGGAUCUGCGGUGGGUACGGGCAGACUAGAGUGAUGUAGGGGGAGACUGGAAUUCCUGGUGUAGCGGUGAAAUGCGCAGAUAUCAGGAGGAACACCGAUGGGCGAAGGCAGGUCUCUGGGCUGACACUGACGCUCGAUGCACGAAAGCGUGGGGAGCGAAACAGG
rnacentral:rRNA from 1 species